rnacentral:rRNA from 1 species
AGAACGAACGCUGGCGGCAGGCUUAACACAUGCAAGUCGAACGCCCCGCAAGGGGAGUGGCAGACGGGUGAGUAACGCGUGGGAAUCUACCCAAUUCUACGGAACAACUGAGGGAAACUUCAGCUAAUACCGUAUACGCCCUACGGGGGAAAGAUUUAAUCGGAGUUGGAUGAGCCCGCGUUGGAUUAGCUAGUUGGUGGGGUAAUGGCCUACCAAGGCGACGAUCCAUAGCUGGUCUGAGAGGAUGAUCAGCCACACUGGGACUGAGACACGGCCCAGACUCCUACGGGAGGCAGCAGUGGGGAAUAUUGGACAAUGGGCGCAAGCCUGAUCCAGCCAUGCCGCGUGAGUGAUGAAGGCCUUAGGGUUGUAAAGCUCUUUCAGUGGGAAGAUAAUGACGGUACCCACAGAAGAAGCCCCGAUAACUCGUGCCAGCAGCCGC